rnacentral:rRNA from 1 species
UACAGAGGGUGCGAGCGUUGUCCGGAAUCACUGGGCGUAAAGGGCGCGUAGGCGGUGCGGUAAGUCACCUGUGAAAUCUCCUGGCUCAACUGGGAGCUUGCAGGCGAAACUGCCGUGCUGGAGUGUGGGAGAGGUGCGUGGAAUUCCUGGUGUAGCGGUGAAAUGCGUAGAUAUCAGGAGGAACACCUGUGGCGAAAGCGGCGCACUGGACCACAACUGACGCUGAGGCGCGAAAGCUAGGGGAGCAAACAGG